rnacentral:rRNA from 1 species
CAGUAGCCGCGGUAAUACGUAGGUGGCAAGCGUUGUCCGGAAUUAUUGGGCGUAAAGGGCUCGCAGGCGGUUUCUUAAGUCUGAUGUGAAAGCCCCCGGCUCAACCGGGGAGGGUCAUUGGAAACUGGGAAACUUGAGUGCAGAAGGGGAGAGUGGAAUUCCACGUGUAGCGGUGAAAUGCGUAGAGAUGUGGAGGAACACCAGUGGCGAAGGCGACUCUCUGGUCUGUAACUGACGCUGAGGAGCGAAAGCGUGGGGAGCGAACAGGAUUAGAUACCCCCGUAGUCCCUGUCUCUUAUAC